AUCUUCCACAUGGGCGCAGCCUGAUGGAGCAACGCCGCGUGUGUGAUGAAGGGUUUCGGCUCGUAAGACACUGUGUAUAAGAGAAGAACGUCAAUGAGAGUAACUGUUCAUUGAGUGACGGUAUCUUAUCAGAAAGGGACGGCUAAAUACGUGCCAGCAGCCGCGGUAAUA
rnacentral:rRNA from 1 species